GAGUUUGAUCGUGGCUCAGGAUUAACGCUGGCGGCGUGCCUAACACAUGCAAGUCGAACGAGAGGGUAACCUCUAGUGGCAGACGGGUGAGUAACACGUGACCAACCUACCCUUAAGUGGGGGAUAACUCGCCGAAAGGCGAGCUAAUACCGCAUAAAACGUCCAUCGGCAUCGUCGGACGUUGGAAGAAGUAAUUCGCUUGAGGACGGGGUCGCGUCCCAUUAGCUAGUUGGUAGGUAACGGCCUACCAAGGCAUCGAUGGGUAGCUGGUUUGAGAGAGCGACCAGCCACACUGGGACUGAGAAACGGCCCAGACUCCUACGGGAGGCAGCAGUGAGGAAUUUUCCGCAAUGGGCAAAGCCUGACGGAGCGACGCCGCGUGUGGGAAGAAGGCCCUCGGGUCGUAAACCACUGUCGAAGGGGACUA
rnacentral:rRNA from 1 species